CGGUCCGCGUACACAUUCACGCCCCGGGGGCGCGGCCGCCACGUGGGGAGUGGCGCGGGGGUGGCACCGGGACCGCACCCCCCUCUGGUUCCCGCUGCGUGGGCCCGGCUUUCCCCGCAGCGCGGGAGCCUCGGAACCCAGUCGGUCCCACGUUCCACACAACCUGAAAAUCCGCCCGCAUCCCAGUAGGGCGGGGGGAUUGCAGGCUCCGGGAGGCGCUCCGGCUGCGAGCAGAGACUCAGCCCGGCACUCCUCCCUGCGCUGCGCCGCUGCCUGCGGGCCAGGAUCCCGUGGGCUGCAUCGAGAGCGAGACGGCGUGGCUUCCCGGCUCGGUACCGCGCGGCUGCUCACCUCCGCGGCCUCACCUCCUGCGGCUUCCAGGUCGCACCGUGCGCUCCUCUUCGCGCCGCUCCCACGGUCUCUGUUUUCCCCCCUUCUCUUUUUAGACUCAACGUCACAACGUCAACUGCCCUAAAAGUGCAGCAGGCACAGACAGAGUCGGAUCGGUUCGGGCUUCACGCCUUUCGCCGGCUCUCUUUCCUUCUCCUGGGCACCGAGGCCAGAGCAACAACCUCCCCUCCGCUUCCUGCCACUAGCCGUCUCAGGUCUCAGACCAUGAGAUCGUCCUUCCUGGUGGGGUGGGACCGAAGCACCAAGAACUUGGAGUCUUGAGAGUCCAGGGACUAAGUGAGCAAGAUGGGCUGAGACCCAAGAGUACUACAGUGUAAUGCAGGAGUCCGGCUGGAUUGCAGAGUAAUAGAACCCAGAUGCUCCAGCGUGUUCGUUGUUCUUGGGACACACCUCCAGUCAUAACAAGCCAGAGCCAUGAGGCCGCAAAGAGGCAUAACGGGCCUUGCUCUUGUUGACUGUCCCUCGAGGAGACCCUCAACUCGGAGUGUCCCAUAGUCACUGGCCUGGGGGUUUUCUUCAGCGUGGCUGCUGACUGCAUCAAGCAAGUGCCUGCACCUAAGACAGAGCUUAUUCAGGGUAGAGUAAGCAGGAGGCGUGGAGGAAGGUUGCCACUUUUCCAGGUUUAUUAGAGGCUGCAAGAGGGGACAUCUGCAGGAGGAUUUGUGUGUGGUGAAGCUAAUCCAAGGACUUUUUGGAUGAAGAACAUCCCAUACCCGGUGAGCAAGAAGUGCAAAGGCCCUGGGGCGAGAGUGAACUUUACCAGCUCCCGGAGCAGCAGGAGACUGGGGCCUAGAGGUGAGUAAGGAUCCAACAGACAGGGAUCGUGGGUAGGCUUUAAAUUUCCCUGUAAGUUCAAUAGCAGCUCUUGGGGGUUUGGGUCUGGGGAGGCCUCUAACUUGAUUUAUCCACUUCUCUGCCUUUAGUACUGAGAGCAGAGAGACCAUUGAGAGCUCUGGGGCCAGGGGAUAGUUAGUGAAAUGCUCCCAUGCAAGCAUGAAGACCAGAGUUCAAGCUCCAGAGUUGACUCACACAAGUUGGGUGUGGUGCAUGAGCUGGAGAGACGGCCAGGGAGGGGGCUUCUUGGGACUAGCUGACUGGUCAGUCUAGCCAAAUAAGUGAGUUCUGGGUUCAUGACACUGUCUCAAAGGAGGUAGACAGUGUUCUUGGGGAUGACACUCAAGAUUGUCCCGAGCUUCCCACACACAUCUGUGUAUUCAGGAGCGCGCGCGCGCGCGCACACACACACACACACACACACACAUACACACACACACACACACACACACACACACACACACACACGAGAAGAAAUGUGCCAGCCACGAGUCUGACACCAUAGUCUUCUCUAGCACCUAUAGUUCCUCACACAUACACAUCUCUUUCCAGGAAUGUCUCUACCCAUCCUUUUUUACAAAGUUCCUGUUCACUCCUGAGGUCCCAGCUCCUACGUACCCUUCUGGGGAGUCCUUCACCCUCUCCCACAGCAGGAUAAAUUCACAUUCUCACCUCAUUACCAGUUCCAGCCAUGGGCACACAUAGUGUGUCUCUGGUCCUUCCCUCCACUAGGCCAAGUGUCUUUCAGACACAAAGAUCUCACUCUGAUGUGUCUCAGAGACCACAGGCCUUCCCUAGCCUGCUCUGGGGGUGGGGCCUGACAAAUGCUUUCUGGGUUGAUGUGAGUUAUUUGAGCACCUGGGUCAUUGGCUGAAGCACCAAGUUAACAAGUGCCCUUAUAACAAGCGAGAUUGGAAGUAUCACACUGUUCUUCCUGGUGAUGCUCCAACAAAUCCACAUUUUCUGGGACUCCUGACCCACGGAGGGUGUUCCUCAGUGUUUUCUAAAAUCAGUAGCCAGCGAGAGUCAAAUUUGAAUAGACAUCUCUCAAGAGCCGGUCCUGUAUUACCUUGAGAGAAAUGUUUGUUAAAAAAAAAGAUCCUAGUUGCUAGAAUGCAUCUUGUAAAUACUGGCGUUUGAAAAUGUACACUUGCAGGAUGCUUGGUUCCUGUACAUGUUCGCUUGCGACUGUAAAUCUGUUUGUCACAGAUGCUUCCGAUGCCUGCUUGUUGUUUUCUUUUUCUUAAUUAAUCUAUUGAUGUCGAAUUAUGCAUCUUUUCCUAUGAAGCUAGAAGUGUAUUUAAAAGCUCAUUUCCUAGUCUGAGACAUGUGCAAAUAAAAGUUGAAGAAGA